rnacentral:lncRNA from 1 species
GAACGUGGGAAAGGAAGCCAAGAAUCCUGCUGUGGUGGAAGAGGGGAUGGACUCAUGAAUUCUCCACAAUAAGAUAUUUUACUUCUUUUUAACAGCCCCAUCAGCAGAGAGAAAUAAUGACUCCCGAAACAGUUCACAAUCAAAAGUUAAAACGAUGUUUCAGUGAUGCUACAUCAUGCCAGCACAGAGAAGCUUCUUGAAGGAGGUAUUCAAUUCAUAUUUUGGAGAAGCUUUCUACCUCCAAACAAACCACACUGCUAGGAGGUCAGUAUUUGACUUAAUUCUUUUCCCCCUGCAAUCUAGGCAUCUUCUGAUUUGUUUUUUGUUUUUGUUUUUUCCGAAAUUAAAACUGUGGAUUGUUUGGAAGCUAACAAUACAAACUGUUUGGAAGGAAUAGCUUCUCUCUGUCCUAUAUUUACCAAAGAGAGAGAGAGAGAGAGAGAGAGAGAGAGAGAGAGAGAGAUGCCCCCAAUGAAAACAUAGCAUUGUGCUCCUUUCUGUGGGCUUUGAAGGUGCACAUUUAUGAAAACGGCUCUAAUUGAAUGACUAAGUAUAACACUUUGACAGAUCGUCUUUCAUUCAUUGCUAACAAGUACUGCAUUACAUCUUUGUAAUGAACAUGAAAAUGACAGUUAGCCCUCAUCACUCGGGAAGCCUGGGCCGAUUCCUUCCUAUCUGAGUGAGAGCUCCUAUGUCACCCGUGUUCCAGUAAUCCUGAACAGUGUGCAGGGCACCCAUCCUCAAAUGCCUCUGGUCAUUUGUGCCUUUGUCAGAGAGAGAUCAAAGGAAGAGCAGAGGCUUAGAGUUUAUUUUAAAAUCUUUCAUUUUAGAAAGGAAAGGAGCAUUUUAAGAUAAUAAAAUAAAGCAAAGACCCCUCGGAGGUGAUUGGUUUGGAUCCUACUUCUUUCCACUUGCUACCCUGUUGUUUCUUUGGAUCUCAAAGUCAAGCCAUGGAACUGCAACUAAAUUCUCAGUCUGGGUAACCUUCACAGCACCAGUGGGCUGCAAGUGGUCAUACCCACGGUUCAGUCCUGAUGAAACAGACAGACGAUGAGGUAUCUGUGAAUGGUCACAUCUCAGUCCCUGUUGGCUCUGCCAUUGGUCUUAUGUUCUCUUGUUUUCACCUUGCAGGUCAUGUACAUAAGGGCCUGCUCUUUUCUCUAAAUAGUCCCCAAAUCCAACUCUGUCUUUUCCCGGAUUCUUGAGAAAGGCCAGAAUGCUCACAUGUCGAGGCCAAGGAGAGAGUUUUUUUUAUGAGAUCCAGGAUCUAUAGACACUGCUAACAAAAAUUAAAAAGACCUCUUUUUAGGUCAUGCCAAGGACGGUGGCGUGUGUUUUUCCCAGUUAUCUAGGGAGGGGGAUUAUUUUGCUUUCCAUCAUGUGUCCUAGAAGUGCUUAUGAUUAAGACCGUGUCUUCCGUAAAAUUCGUAAAAGAAGCCAUUAAUGAAGCUUCGUUGCCUUGGAUUCCCAUUCUUACAUGUGGAACACUGGUUUGGGAGAAGGAAUGUUAUAUUGACAAGUGAAAUCAUUUAUAUUUGUAAGAAGGCCUCAGAAACAGGUCCGUUGUCACAUCCUUGAAAAGUUUUGCGGGGGUCAGGGGGGGACAAUUAGCGAUUUCUUUUCCACUUCAAAUUUUAUAAAAUAAGCCCAAACUUGCUCUGUGUUCAUGUUUGUACCAAUAGUGGGGGUGGGGUGGAAACAAAACCAUAAACUUUUCCUAAAGAUGAGUCUUUCAAUUUAACGUAGCUAGAAAUCUCUUCCAGAAGACUUUUCAGAAAAUACUUAUAAGCCUGUUCGUGGUGCUUGCCAGUUUAUUCUACCUGUUUUCCAGAAUGCAAAUAGAAAAGAAAAAACUCAGCAUCCUUGUUCAUGUAAUUACAGGCAUUUAAGAGGAAGAACUUCCAUUGGGGAUUUCAUGUGUUUCUCUCUUUCUCUCCCUCUCUCUCCUGCUUAUAAUUUGGUACCACUUUGCCCAGAUUUCGUGUUACGGUCUGAAUAAAUGAGUCUUCCAUAAUAUUAAACAGUAACCUGAUGAAAUUUACAUAAAGCCUAGUGUAUCUGUGGAAUAAGUAAAAACAGAAGGACCUGCGUGAGGGAUAACACUGAGGAUGCUGC